rnacentral:rRNA from 1 species
UAGGGAAUCUUCGGCAAUGGACGGAAGUCUGACCGAGCAACGCCGCGUGAGUGAAGAAGGUUUUCGGAUCGUAAAGCUCUGUUGUAAGAGAAGAACGAGUGUGAGAGUGGAAAGUUCACACUGUGACGGUAUCUUACCAGAAAGGGACGGCUAACUACGUGCCAGCAGCCGCGGUAAUACGUAGGUCCCGAGCGUUGUCCGGAUUUAUUGGGCGUAAAGCGAGCGCAGGCGGUUAGAUAAGUCUGAAGUUAAAGGCUGUGGCUUAACCAUAGUACGCUUUGGAAACUGUUUAACUUGAGUGCAAGAGGGGAGAGUGGAAUUCCAUGUGUAGCGGUGAAAUGCGUAGAUAUAUGGAGGAACACCGGUGGCGAAAGCGGCUCUCUGGCUUGUAACUGACGCUGAGGCUCGAAAGCGUGGGGAGCAAACAGGAUUAGAUACCCUGGUAGUCCACGCCGUAACGAUGAGUGCUAGGUGUUAGACCCUUUCCGGGGUUUAGUGCCGUAGCUAACGCAUUANCACUCCGCCUGGGGAGUACGACCGCAAGGUU